rnacentral:rRNA from 1 species
GGUGAACGCUGGCGGCGUGCUUAAGACAUGCAAGUCGAACGCAGUCUUCGGACUGAGUGGCGCACGGGUGAGUAACACGUAACUGACCUACCCCCAAGUCGCGAAUAACCAGCCGAAAGCAUGGCUAAUACGUGAUGUGAUGAUCCGCUGUGGCGGAUCAUUAAAGACUUGAUCGCUUGGGGAUGGGGUUGCGUUCCAUCAGAUAGUUGGUAAGGUAAAGGCUUAGCAAGGCAACGACGGAUAGCCGGCCUGAGAGGGUGGCCGGCCACAGGGGCACUGAGACACGGGUCCCACUCCUACGGGAGGCAGCAGUUAGGAAUCUUCCACAAUGGGCGCAAGCCUGAUGGAGCGACGCCGCGUGAGGGAUGAAGGUUCUCGGAUCGUAAACCUCUGAACCAACGACGAAAGACCCGACAAGGGAGAUGACGGUAGUUGGGUAAUAGCACCGGCUAACUCCGUGCCAGCAGCCGCAGUAAUAC